CGGGGUUUAUGGCCUUCGAUGUUGUCAAUUUUAAUGUGUUUCGUAAGCAAAUAAAGAGUGCAAAGGAAACACUUGCCAUCUGUGUGUUGGUGAAGCUAAGGUGUCCGGUGACCCAUGCAGCUCAGCCGAUCCUAUUUUAAUUGCUCUUGAUCUCUGCGUCUAAAAUCGGCCACCGAGAUGAGGAUGGCCGAGAUAAGACUACUGGAGUUCUACUUGAAUAUUUACAAAAAAAUCUCCAUCGAGAUAUUCUACGGUAAAGACUCUCCAUCUAAGUCGGGAGAUAAAAAAUAAUAAAUAAAAAUAAAUUAAAAAUUAAAAAUUUAUUUUGAAGAUCCGGAAGUCUCUUUGAUUAUAAAGAAAAAAUUGAAGUCGUGUCCGUCUC
rnacentral:lncRNA from 1 species